rnacentral:tRNA from 1 species
GUCUCUGUAACUCAGUUGGAUAGAGUGCAAACCUCCUAAGUUUGAUGCCGUGCGUUCGAAUCGCGCCAGAGACG